AAUAAGUGCAGUUUUGCACUAUUCAUGUUCAACGUUUGACCGUCUGUCUUAUUGAAAAUUUUUUAUGAUUAGUAUUUUUAUUGCUAUUAGAUGAUAAAACAUGAAUAGUACUUUAUGUGCGACUAAAUGUUUUUAAUUUUUCACAAAUUUUUCAAAUAAGACGGACGGUCAAAUGUUGAACGUGAAUAGUGCAAAACUGCACUUAUU
rfam:Oryza sativa (indica cultivar-group) chromosome 8, whole genome shotgun sequence.